rnacentral:lncRNA from 1 species
CUGUGGUCUUUUGUUUUUAAGUCUUCAUUACAACAGCUUCUCACCGUGACCAGGCCACCCCGUGAGAUUUUGAGUGUGACUCAGUCAUCGUGUAGCCUCGCCCCCCAGGCUCUUAUAAUCAGUCACCUACAGUCACAGGAAGCCACACACACUACAGCUGUCUACAGGGAGCAGAGAGCGCAGAGCUGCAGUUACACAAGUGCUUGUGGAGAUACACAGUAAAAGGAACACAGUCAUGAGGGUCAGCCUGAAAGCUCUGAUAACAUGUCUGCUAUGGGGCUGUGUACUAACAGCAGAGCCCAAACUAUCUAUCUCUCCACAAAACCCUGGGAACCUCAGCACCAUACCUCCAUCCAUGGCAACCGAUAACGACAAAACAAAUGUUCCUAGUACAACUCCAUCUACAACUACUUCCACCACCAAUAACACUUCCACCCAGGCUGCCAGCACUGAGGAAAAACAGACUCCUGACUCGACAACUCAGGACUCUAGCAUCAAAAAACAAAGCCAGUUCACCAACACAACUACUAUUACCAACAGUACCACCACCGGCACCACCAUCAGCACCAUCAGCACCAUCCCCAGCACCACACAAAGCCAGUCCACCAACACAAGUACUACCACCGACAACAUCAUCCCCAGCUCCACACAAAGCCAGUCCACCAACACAAUCACCACCACCGACAAUGCCACCACCGUCAGCGCCAUCCCCAGCUCCACACAAAGCCAGUCCACCAACACAAGUACUACCACCGACAACAUCAUCCCCAGCUCCACACAAAGCCAGUCCACCAACACAAUCACCACCACCGACAAUGCCACCACCGUCAGCGCCAUCCCCAGCUCCACACAAAGCCAGUCCACCAACACAAUCACCACCACCGACAAUGCCACCACCAUCAGCGCCAUCCCCAGCUCCACACAAAGCCAGUCCACCAACACAAUCACCACCACCAACAGUACCACCACCGUCAGCGCCAUCCCCAGCUCCACACAAAGCCAGUCCACCAACACAAUCACCACCACCAACAAUACCACCACCAACACCACCCUCGGCACUACAAAAACCAUCAGCACCACCCUCAGUAUCACCAGUAGCACCACUUCCAGUGCCAACACCGCCACAGAGGGACAGGACGGACACGAGUCCAAGGCUCUGAGCUCAGGUACGCAGCAACAAGAAGUUGUUUUGAAUUUUUGGGUUUUUUAG